AUGUCGUUCCGGCCUCCUGCAGGGUAUUGUCGGGGGGAUUCCGUUUCACAGACAUCGGCUGCAACCGCAGUAAGCGAAGGUGGCGCCGUUGAGUUACGCUGUAAAUACACAGCCACGAGCACACAGGUUCCGUAUCUGUACUGGUACCGUCAAUAUCCCGGUGGACCCAUGGAAUUUAUGCUCUGGAUAAGCAAGUACAGCUCAAGCCAGGACAAUUCACCGGAUCAACACUUUUCAACCUCUCUUGAUGAUUCGGGGCGGAUCGUCAUAUUGACUGUGUCUGAAGCACAACUGGAAGACUCUGCAGCGUAUUACUGCGCCCUGAGCCCCCACGGCGUCUCGGCGCGGUGCUGA